rnacentral:rRNA from 1 species
CCUAACACAUGCAAGUCGAACGGCAGCACAGGUGAGCUUGCUCCCUGGGUGGCGAGUGGCGGACGGGUGAGGAACACAUCGGAAUCUGCCUAUUUGUGGGGGAUAACCUCGGGAAACCGGGACUAAUACCGCAUACGACCUACGGGUGAAAGCAGGGGACCUUCGGGCCUUGCGCAGAUAGAUGAGCCGAUGUCGGAUUAGCUAGUUGGAGGGGUAAAGGCCCACCAAGGCGACGAUCCGUAGCUGGUCUGAGAGGAUGAUCAGCCACACUGGGACUGAGACACGGCCCAGACUCCUACGGGAGGCAGCAGUGGGGAAUAUUGGACAAUGGGCGCAAGCCUGAUCCAGCCAUGCCGCGUGAGUGAAGAAGGCCCUCGGGUUGUAAAGCUCUUUUGUUGGGAAAGAAAAGCAGCCGGUUAAUACCCGGUUGUUCUGACGGUACCCAAAGAAUAAGCACCGGCUAACUUCGUGCCAGCAGCCGCGGUAAUACGAAGGGUGCAAGCGUUACUCGGAAUUACUGGGCGUAAAGCGUGCGUAGGUGGUUCGUUAAGUCUGAUGUGAAAGCCCUGGGCUCAACCUGGGAAUUGCAUUGGAUACUGGCGGGCUAGAGUACGGUACAGGGUGGCGGAAUUCCUGGUGUAGCAGUGAAAUGCGU